ACCUGGCCCCGCCUCUGCCCUCGCUCCAGGCCCCGCCCUCACACCUGGCCCCGCCCCUGCCCUCACUCCUGGCCCCGCCCCCUGCAUAACCUGCCGUUCAUUCUGUUUCCAGUACUUUCUGUCUUCGCUUUGAAAGUCUGUGCAGGGGCAGGAGAUCCAUGGGUAGCACUGCAGAAGAAGGGAAAGACUGUGGCUCAGGGGUGACCAGACAUUUCCUGGUCAAUCUGAAAAUACUGGUUUUCAGACCCUAAAUUUCCAUGACCUUUAUGUUCUGAAAAUGAGUAUUUCCUGAUGAAAGAGGGGCAAAAAAGAGGUCCCUGAUGGCUGUAGUCAUCUGUGGGGUAUAAUCAUGUACAGUGACAGACGUGUGGUGAAGGAAUGUGAGCCACAGAUGGUGUUGUAUAUCUCUGUAAAUACAUGUACAUAUGUAUAUAUUGUCUUUUAAGCUUAAUGUACUUGGUAUUUACUUUGCAGGCAGGAACAAAAUGCUUAAUCUAAAUCUGCUUUAAAAGGUCAUAGAAGGACCUCAGUGCAGUAAGAUAGUGACAUUCCAUUUCAGAUGUGCACAGCUUACCAUGAACUGGCACACUGCAGUACAUUUCCACAAGGGCCAUUUCUAGAGCCUGCUUUCAGUAUCGUGGUGGUAGUCUGAGCUGUGUGUCCAGACCAGGCUGUCCUGAGCUGUGUGUCCAGACCAGGCUGUCCUGAGCUGUGUGUCCAGGCCAGGCUGUCCUGAGCUGUGUGUCCAUCUGUCCUGAGCUGUGUGUCCAGACCAGGCUGUCCUGAGCUGUGUGUCCAGACCAGGCUGUCCUGAGCUGUGUGUCCAGGCCAGGCUGUCCUGAGCUGUGUGUCCAUCUGUCCUGAGCUGUGUGUCCAGACCAGGCUGUCCUGAGCUGUGUGUCCAUCUGUCCUGAGCUGUGUGUCCAGACCAGGCUGUCCUGAGCUGUGUGUCCAUCUGUCCUGAGCUGUGUGUCCAUACCAGGCUGUCCUGAGCUGUGUGUCCAUCUGUCCUGAGCUGUGUGUCCAGACCAGGCUGUCCUGAGCUGUGUGUCCAGACCAGGCUGUCCUGAGCUGUGUGUCCAUCUGUCCUGAGCUGUGUGUCCAUCUGUCCUGAGCUGUGUGUCCAGACCAGGCUGUCCUGAGCUGUGUACCAGGCUGUCCUGAGCUGUGUGUUCAGCCCUUAUAGCAGAUGUAGCUUAAAGGCUGUUGUUUAUACCUUUGAUAGCUAAUUAAUGACAACAUAACAGCUGCUCGUAUUGUUGCUCAGCUUGAUUUCAAAUCUCAUUUCCUGUGGGUUAUAUAGUCAGUAGAAGGCAGCUUUCCUUACAUUCCUUGAAAGAGUGGAACAAAUCAAACUUAAUUCACCCCUUAUUUGCACUGAAUGCGUCUAAUGUCUUAUUACAGAGGUCACUGAAAUGGACCACUCUGCAUUCCUUGUCAUUGUAGUCUGCUGAAUAAAUGACCAAAUGCUCAUUUGUAAUGCAAGUAAACUCUGAGUGUCUCACGGCCAACAUUUCAAAUGAACUGUGAAAGUGUGGCAUGUGUAAGCCCUGUCGUAUGUCAGCACUGUUGUAAGUGGUGUCGUAUGUUAGCGCUGUCGUAUGUUAGCACUGUUGUAUGUAAGAGGUGUCAUAUGUUAGCGCUGUCGUAUGUUAGCGCUGCCGUAUGUAAGCACUGGCGUAUGUAAGAGCUGUUGUGUGUAAAUGGUGUCGUAUGUAAGAGCUGUCAUAUGAAAGUGGUGGCAUGUGUAAGCGGUGGAGGGAGGAGCACAAGGAGGAGUACAGGCACAGGGAGGAGCAGAGAUGAGCACAGAGAGGAGCACUGAGAGGGAGCACAGGGAGUAGCACAGAGAGGAGCACUGAGAGGGAGCACAGGGAGGAGCAGAGGGAGGAGCACAGAGAGAAGCACAGGAAGGAGCACUGAGAGGGAGCACAGGGAGGAGCAGAGGGAGGAGCACAGAGAGAAGCACAGGGAGGAGCACAGGGAGGAGCACAGAGAGGAGCACAGAGAGGGAGGAGCACAGAGAGGAGUACAGGGACAGCACAAUAGGGAGCAGUGGGAGGAGCACUGAGAGGGAGCACAGGGAGGAGCAGAGAGAGGAGCACAGAGAGGAGCACAGAGGAGCACGGAGGAGCACAGAGAGGGAGGAGCACAGAGAGAAGCACAGGGAGGAGCACAGAGAGGGAGGAGCACAGAGAGGAGUACAGGGACAGCACAGUAGGGAGCAGUGGGAGGAGCACAGAAAGAAGCACAGGGAGGAGCACAGAAAGGAGCACAGAGAGGGAGGAGCACAGAGAGGAGCACAGAGAGGGAGCAGAGAGAGGAGCACAGAGAAGCACAGGGAGGAGCACAGAGAGGAGUACAGGGAGGAGCACAGAGGAGUACAGGGACAGCACAGUAGGGAGCAGAGGGAGGAGCACAGAGAGGGAGGAGCACAGAGAGGAGUACAGAGAGGGAGCACAGAGAGGAGCACAGAAAGGGAGCAGAGGGAGGAGCACAGAGAGGGAGGAGCACAGAGAGGAGUACAGGGGCAGCACAGUAGGGAGCAGAGGGAGGAGCAGUGGGAGGAGCGCAGGGAGGGAGAGGUCUUUGUGUUGAGCAGGCUGCUCUCCAUCGUUACACAGUCACCCAGAGUCCCACAUUAACACUGCGCAGGGAUCACACCCAGGCUUAAGAACCCCGCAGGCCUGUUUGGGCAAAGCUGUUUGCUCACAUUGAGUAGAGUCUUAAAUCUAGGCUAACUAUAGUAUAUGUAUAUUUUGUAUAUGAUUUGUGGUUAUGCUAUGAAAACUAAUUUGAACACAUUCCAGUUUAGCAAGUUAGAAUGAAUUAAGGAACUGGUUGAGGGUGACAUGCACAUUACACAUUAAUUACUUUAUCAAUACUUUAUCUGAGUUCAGCUGAAGUACCCUUGCCCCUGCGCACAGUAGCACUUCCCCACAGGGUGUGUAAUCCAUCGGCCUCAGGCCUGGAGUCCAGACUCCUGCAGUCAAAGCAUCCUAUGUUGCUAAAUUUAUGGAGACAUUCCUUAUUUAACAUGUCGUCGUAUGCAUUCCUCAGACCAACCCUCAGUACUUAAACCAGGGAUGCCCUGAUGGACCUGGAGCCCAUUAGUGCUGCUGGUGUUCUAUUCUACCUGAUAGUUCAUUGAUUAGUGUGGCAGAUUGGCCAGAGGUUUGAUUGGCGUGCCUCUGCCUUGGCUUGUCCUUCUUGUGGAGGUCUUCAGCCUUACCCCACUGUAAGGAUCCAAGCGAGCACAGCUCACUCUGCAUUCUCCCUCAUGUCCUGCGUUAUGUCUGCCCACAGGUGGCACGCUGCCACCUGGGCAAUUUGGGAGAUUAAAAACGACUGGCUGUGUUUUUUCGGCAGGGUUGAUAACGGUCUUAAGUAAAUCUGCCGUGCCUGAGAACACAAUAUUUUUGUUUGGACUCUUUUUUUUCACUGGACGGAACAGUGAGUCAGGCACUGGGGAUGAAGCAUGUUAAUUCAUUGUUUCCCUUGAUUCCAAAGGUGUCUUACAAUCAUUAAGUAUACUUGAGUUCAAGAAACAUCUGUGGACAGACCAGUCUGUAGGGGAUUGGUGGUACAGUAAAUUAAUUGACUUUAUUUCUUCAUGCUGCAAGUCUUACAAUCAUUAAUUCACCAAGACAUCAAGGAGGAAGGCCAAGUGGCCUUUGCCCCUGAAGUAGAGGCGCGUUUUGUAAGACCUACAUUCGUAAAGUACGAUUCAAGCACCAACCAUGCUAAAAAAAGAAAAAGGCUAAAAACAAGGACAAGCUUGCUUUCCUCUUGGGCUCUUGGGAGCACCUUUUCUGUUCUUUCCGCUGCUUAACUGGCGUUUAGCAACUUAGCUUACGGCGCAAAAACAAGUGCAGGGAUCAGGGGUCAAAGUGCGCUGGGUUCCUCGAAGGGGGAAAGGGUAGUCCCUGGAGGAGGUGCGGGCUCGAUCGGUAACCUGUCCACAACCCAACUGAACGCUAAACUGGGUUAUGCAAUCAGAACGCUGCUCCCCGAACGAGCAGCAGACUCUGAGCGCGCUUUCCCUCUGUCUCUGAUUGGCUGCAUGCUGCUGCUGUUGGCUCUCAUCGGCCAGUGUGGUUCUGGGAUUAGCAGCUCUGCUAAUCUCCCCUGUCUAGAUCUGUGUAGCCUGAGCACCCUGCUGCUAGCGCUCCGGUCCCCGUGCUAUCGUCCUGGUGCACAUGUUUAAAGUAGUAUUUUUCUUUGCAUGCAUCUGCGUUAUGGGAAACAAAUGGGCUGUAAUUGCUGUCAUCUGCAAUAAAUUUUUACAUAAUUAUA